CCCUUAGAUGCUCUGGGCCGCACGCGCGCUACACUGGUCGAUGCAACGAGUUUCUUUCCUUGGCCGACAGGCCUGGGCAAUCUUUGAACAUCGAUCGUGAUCGGGAUAGAUUCUUGUAAUUUUUGAUCUUAAACGAGGAAUUCCUAGUAAACGCAAGUCAUCAGCUUGCAUUGAUUACGUCCCUGCCCUUUGUACACACCGCCCGUCGCACCUGCCGAUUGAAUGGUCCGGUGAAAUCUCCGGACUGGCGUGAGUCGGAGCAAUCUGACAAACACCGGAAAGUUGAUUAAACCUUACCAUUUAGAGGAAGGUGAAGUCGUAACA
rnacentral:rRNA from 1 species